rnacentral:rRNA from 1 species
UACGUAGGGUGCAAGUGUUGUCCGGAAUUAUUGGGCGUAAAGAGCUCGUAGGCGGUCUGUCGCGUCUGCUGUGAAAACUCGGGGCUUAACCCCGGGCCUGCAGUGGGUACGGGCAGACUAGAGUGCGGUAGGGGAGACUGGAAUUCCUGGUGUAGCGGUGAAAUGCGCAGAUAUCAGGAGGAACACCGGUGGCGAAGGCGGGUCUCUGGGCCGUAACUGACGCUGAGGAGCGAAAGCGUGGGGAGCGAACAGG